rnacentral:sRNA from 1 species
GAAUUUUAAAUGUGCUAACAGCUAAGUAAUGAAUCUUAUCUCAGUAGUAAAUGAAAUCUACUACAGAAUGAUUGAUCUACAUUCAGUAAAUUAUUCUACUCAUAAAGAGUCCUUUAACAUAGCAAACAAUCUAUCCUAAUAUAGCUGUUUUUAAGAUUUGGUGUUUCUGAAUAUUAGAGUUUCCUUAAGGAUCUCUACAUCAUAUAGUGAUCUGAAACAUGUGAAACCAUUUAUGUUGUAUGCAAAAAUUCGGAACACACUGUCUUCAGAAUCUGAAAUGGAACAUAAAAAUAAUAACAUACAUUUAUUGGAUACUUCACUGUGCAUCAGUUUCCAAGCUAAGCACUUGAUACAUGCCAUCUCAUUUAAUCCUCACAAGAAUCCUACAAGGAAGCAAAAUGUGGUGAUUUUAAAGCUGUUAUAGUGGAAGUAUCAGGACAAGCCCAUUACACGGGUACAGCAAGCUUUAUAGUAGAAGAUGACGACCCACUGAGGGAUGGAUUUCUUCUCAAGUGACUUCUUCCAUGAUUUUAAGGGCUUUCUUUUUAAAGUAAUCAUUAUCCUUAACUACUGUUUUCUCUAAAUUAUAUGAAAACAAAUAAUCAAAUUAUACAUAUAAA